rnacentral:rRNA from 1 species
UACGUAGGGCGCAAGCGUUGUCCGGAAUUAUUGGGCGUAAGAGCUCGUAGGCGGUUUGUCGCGUCUGCUGUGAAAACCUAAGGCUCAACCUUGGGCUUGCAGUGGGUACGGGCAGACUAGAGUGCGGUAGGGUGACUGGAAUUCCUGGUGAUAGCGGUGGAAUGCGCAGAUAUCAGGAGGAACACCGGUGGGCGAAGGCGGUUCUCUGG